rnacentral:rRNA from 1 species
AACACAUGCAAGUCCAACGUGAAAGGGGAGCAAUCCCCCGGUAGGGUGGCAAACGGGUGAGUAAUACAUGGGUGAUCUACCUUAGGGAUGGGGAUAUCCUUCCGAAAGGAGGGGCAAUACCGAAUAUUGUCCGGAGCCGUGAAGGGUUCCGGGGAAAGGGAGGCCUCUGAUACAAGCUUUCGCCUUAAGAUGAGCCCAUGGCCCAUCAGCUAGUUGGUAGGGUAAAGGCCUACCAAGGCUACGACGGGUCGCUGGUCUGAGAGGACGACCAGCCACACUGGCACUGAGAUACGGGCCAGACUCCUACGGGAGGCAGCAGUGAGGAAUA